rnacentral:rRNA from 1 species
GAUGAACGCUGGCGGCGUGCCUAAUACAUGCAAGUCGAGCGAACAGACGAGGAGCUUGCUCCUCUGACGUUAGCGGCGGACGGGUGUGUAACACGUGGAUAACCUACCUAUAAGACUGGGAUAACUUCGGGAAACCGGAGCUAAUACCGGAUAAUAUAUUGAACCGCAUGGUUCAAUAGUGAAAGACGGUUUUGCUGUCACUUAUAGAUGGAUCCGCGCCGCAUUAGCUAGUUGGUAAGGUAACGGCUUACCAAGGCAACGAUGCGUAGCCGACCUGAGAGGGUGAUCGGCCACACUGGAACUGAGACACGGUCCAGACUCCUACGGGAGGCACCAGUAGGGAAUCUUCCGCAAUGGGCGAAAGCCUGACGGAGCAACGCCGCGUGAGUGAUGAAGGUCUUCGGAUCGUAAAACUCUGUUAUUAGGGAAGAACAAAUGUGUAAGUAACUAUGCACGUCUUGACGGUACCUAAUCAGAAAGCCACGGCUAACUACGUG